AAGUCGUAACAAGGUUUCCGUAGGUGAACCUGCGGAAGGAUCAUUAAAGAGUUUUGAGGUUGGUCGCGUGCAUCCCGUUCUUUUUAAAUGGACGGGAAGUGACGCGUACCAUGACCUUUGCGUAUGUUGUGUUUGUCUGUGUUACUAUGUUAUAUUAAAUUAAAGACAACUUUUAACAAUGGAUCUCUUGGUUCUC
rnacentral:misc_RNA from 1 species